UGGAAGAUAUAUAGUGGGUUUUUGCCUUC
rnacentral:piRNA from 1 species